AUGUUUCUGUUGAGAAGUUGGUUAGAAACAGUUGGAAAGUUAGUUACAAGAUUCUAUUAUGAAGUCAGUUUGCUAAAGGAAGAGGGAAACAAAGGGCAUGGCAUAAAGUUUGGUGUCUCUUUUGAUGGUGCAGAAAUUUUGGUCAUAGAUGAUGUGGAUAGAACAUAUAAACAUGGUGAAGAAAUUCAAGACAUAAGGGCAUCAAGCAUGAAGAUUAUUUUAAGAUGUUAUGGAAGCUUGAAGUUUGGUUUUGGCAACCUAAAGCAUGAAGUUCAUAAGUCUAGAAACUUAGAACUCUUAUGUUUAGGACCAAAUUUGUAA